UACGCAUGCGGAAGCGAAACAAAUCCCCUGACAACAUUUAACUUGGGAUAGAAAAGCAGGCAAUCAAUCGCAAUACCAAACACCCAUUUACAAACACAAAGGGUUUAAAUACAACACUGGACUUUCUACAAAAUAGACCAGCUCGACGAAAUGGGAACUAUCCUACAACCAACUAGCAGGACACGCUCUCCAACCCUUAUGACUUCACCUCUACAACUCCUUAAGGCCAACCAAAGCUAUCUGGCCACUCCAUCCAUCGGGGACCUGAAAUUUUAAUCCCACAACCGGGAUGAGACGAUGUCUCAGCAAGUUCAACCCCCUAAACCCCUAUUAGAAAGAAAAUACGCCCCGGGUGGCCUAGCCACAUCACACAGAAGACUUACCUCACCUCAGCCUUCAUUUGUAGGUUAGCACAAUUUAUAUAAUCCAACCACGUACAAUUAUGAUAACCAAACAACCAUGUCACCAUCACAUUAUCCAGACAAUUCAACCACUUGGAUCGUCACAGCGAUCAAUCGACUCGGCCGAUUACAUGUCAUUCUAGCAAAUCAAUCAUUGCUCUCAACUACGGCCCUACUCGGCAAAUUUGAAUCAGUGGCAUCACGGCCCCACUCGACGCGACCUUUAAUAGGUGGCAAUUCACGGCCCCAUUGGGCGCGACCUCUAAUAGGUGGCAUAUCACGGCCUCAUCGGGCACGACCUCUAAUAGGUGGUUUAUCACGGCCUCACUGGGCACGACCUCUCAUAGGUGGUUUAUCACGGCCUCACUGGGCACGACCUCUCAUAGGUGGUAUUUCACGGCCUCACUGGGCACGACCUCUCAUAGGUGGUAUUUCACGGCCUCAUCGGGCACGACCUCUAAUAGGUGGUAUUUCACGGCCUCAUCGGGCACGACCUCUUGUAGGUGGUAUUUCACGGCCUCAUCGGGCACGACCCUUCCUGGGUGGUAUUUCACGGCCUCACUGGGCACGACCUCUAAUAAGUGGUCAAUCACAUCCAAUCUCCCAUCAAUUUCUACACUUAGGAUUUCAUAAAGAAUCCAUAUAAAUCGCAAUCACACUCAAUUCAUCACAACCAAUCAUCAAUAUCAAAUUCUAAAUACACAGCAACGAUCAGCACGAAAUUAUGGGAGAAUAAGGUUCCAGAAUAAUUUUCGGAAUUUAUUAAAUAAUUAAAUUUAUUCCGAAAUUAAUUAAAUAAUAAUAUUCAUACUUUUCAUGAUCCACGCUCAAUUUAUAAAAUCCAAUCAUCAAUUUCAAAAUCCGAAUGUACCAUAGCGACCGGCACGAAAUUCUGAGCAACCGGGGUCAGAAAUAAUUUUUCUGAUUUUUUUUUAUAAUAAUAUUUUAAUAAUUUCGGAUUAUAAUAUAAUAUAAUAUUUUCCAGAAUUUCGAAGCACUUAAAUAAUUCAAAACUAAAAUCAUUUUGUGUCACAUCAAGGCUUAACUUUAAAUAAACUCUCUUAGCAUUUAAUUAAACAUACUUUAGAUUAAACAAACAUCUUAAUCUAAAUCAUAAUUAAAUCAACUAAAUUAACCACCUAAGCUUAAUCAACUUAAGCUAAGCACACCUAAAGCAUAAUUAACCCUCUAAGCGAGGUUUAGGGAGCUAAACUCACCGGAUUAGCGAGCCGAGCGGACCAAAACGACGGGGACGCCGAGGAGAACAACUUUCCUCAAAGCGGGCCGAGCAUCCGAGCUCGGGAAG
rnacentral:lncRNA from 1 species